rnacentral:lncRNA from 1 species
GAGUUGGGGGAGAGGACCAGAACCACCUGCUGGAGAAGGGGAGCUACGGGGGCCGGGCAGGGUCCAAACGCCUCACGUAGGCGGCGGCGCCACGGUCUUCGGGGUCACAGGGAAGAGAAGGGCUCUCCUCAAGCGGGUGGAAGGAGGGAGGCCUCCCGAGGGAGUGAGACUCUAGGCCACUCCCCCGCAGCAAGGCAGGAUCACCUGCGACGCGGAGAGCGGUUAGAGGGCCCUGGAGUGGAAAAGGGCAGUGGGACCUGGUAGCUUGGGUUCCCUGCAACUUGGGGUUCGACCUCCAGGCAAUGAAGUAGGGAUGGUCCUGCAAGUCAAGAUUCCAGUAGCAAGAGUGCAUCAGAUCUCUGUAAGGAAAAUAACUAACAUUGCUCAGUUCCCUGUAGAGUUGCAGGGCGCUUUAACGUUAUCUCCCUUGGUUCUCCAUCAGGUCGUAGUGGACUAAUUUUACAGGCGAAGUUAAGUGACUUACCCAAAACCUCACAGCUAAUAAACGGCAGAGCCGGCACCCAGCUGUACUGGCUUCCAAUUCUGUUAGCUUACCAGCGCAUCACAUUAUCUCCAUAAAUCCCCAUGAUUCAACUAAUAUUAGACGCCCCACAGAGUCUCGCUACUCAAAACGUGGUCAGUGGCCCAGCAGCACUGACAUGAGGAUGUUAGUUAGAAACUCAGAAUCUCAGGCUCCACCCCAGACCUGCUGAACCAGCAUCUUCAACUUAACAAGAACCCGAAGAGAUUUGUGUCACAUCAAAAAGUUUGAGAAGCUCUGAUCUAGGGCUGGAAGGAGUGUUGCUCAACAAUAUCCAAAACCACAGAGGUUGAAAAGCACAAGGAAAGAAGGUAUGUUUGCACUUUGUGAUUAGGUAGUAGGGUCUUUGAGACCACAUUGUUCUUAUUGAAAGCCUGGGAAGAAAGAUCCCCUUUCUGGUCAAGUUUAGUCUAGGGAUCCAUCCCAUCUUCCCCAGUUCCCACGUGUAUGGGACAUGUCGAGAUAAGUAGAUAGAUUGGACAGUGGGAGAAAGUAGUUCUCUUCCAGUUGCUUCUAUUUUCUCAGCAAAGUGAGGAGCAAGAUCAUUUUGGCAGACUGCUAAUUGUCCAUCACAAUUUAGUCUCCCUUUCUCCCUGAAAACACAGACUGCUUUUCUCAGCCUCUCUUUCAGUUGCAUAUGGUCAAGUAUUAAGUUAUAGAACGUGAGCAGAUGUUAUGUCUGCCACUGUCAGGCCAAGGCGUUUACUUUGAGAGUACUUGUGCCUCUUUCAUGCAUUUUCCUUUCUGCCAGCUGGACCCUGGACACGGUGACUCUGAUUCAAUUAUGCAGAUGACCACAAACCUCUGGGGUUGGCAGAGCCACAAGAAAGAAGGUGCCUGGAUGAAGGAGAGCUACCCACUGACCUGGACACCCAAUUAUAGGAUAGACAGUGAAGUGCAACUACAGCCCGCAAAUGAAAAUGAAUAAUAUUAAUCCAGCCCCUCAAGGCAGUCAUCUGUCUUAGAGCUAUUGGAAUCCUGGAUCAUUGUGGGAAAUGAAAGGAACUGGUUUUUAGCAAGGAGACCAAGAAACUCUACUCCCUAGGGGCUAGCAAUGAGAGAAAGGAAGCCUUAAGUCUUUGAGCACAGGGUGACAGUUUGGGUCCUAUGUGAGAUGAUCAAAUCCACAGCAACAGAGGAAAGGACAAAAGGAAAAGAUACUUCGAUGGAAUCAGCAGCCAUUGAUCCAAUGCCAACUCCAAGACUGGAACGUCGCAAUGAUAGUUCCAAGGCGGAAAUUUGACGUAAUUCUUUUCGACACAGUUUUACAGGUCUGGAUGCCCAUUUUAAUUCUUCUGAAAGCAUGCCUCCUCCUUCUGGCUUCAGGACUCCAUCUCCAGCCUCUUGAUCUAAAAAU